rnacentral:misc_RNA from 1 species
UUUCCGUAGGUGAACCUGCGGAAGGAUCAUUCAUGAUAAGUGUUUUAUGGCACUUUAUUAAAUCCAUAUCCACCUUUUGUGCAAAGUUGUUUUUUUAUUUGGUUUUUAUUUUUUUUUUGAUAAAAACCAAAAUAUAACCAUGUCAUUUGAAACUGUUUUGUCUGAAAAAUCGUAUCACGAAUUUACUCAAUUCGAAAAUACAACUUUCAACAACGGAUCUCUUGGCUCUCGCAUCGAUGAAGAACGCAGC